UACAGAGGGGGCAAGCGUUGUUCGGAAUUACUGGGCGUAAGGGGCGCGUAGGCGGCCUGCUAAGUCGAACGUGAAAUCCCUGGGCUUAACCGGGGAACUGCGUCUGAUACUGGAUGGCUUGAGAUUGGGAGAGGGAUGCGGAAUUCCAGGUGUAGCGGCGAAAUGCGUAGAUAUCUGGAGGAACACCGGUGGCGAAGGCGGCAUCCUGGACCGGCAUUGACGCUAAAGCGCGAAGGCCAGGGGAGCAAACGGG
rnacentral:rRNA from 1 species